AAGUAGAUAGCUUAACCUUCGGGGGGGCGUUUACCACGGUAUGAUUCAUGACUGGGGUGAAGUCGUAACAAGGUAACCGUAGGGGAACCUGCGGUUGGAUCACCUCCUUACCUAAAA
rnacentral:rRNA from 1 species